GACGAACGCUGGCGGCGUGCCUAAUACAUGCAAGUCGAGCGGACGAAUCGAAAGCUUGCUUUUGAUUCGUUAGCGGCGGACGGGUGAGUAACACGUGGGCAACCUGCCCUGUAGACGGGGAUAACACCGAGAAAUCGGUGCUAAUACCGGAUAACACGAAAUGUCGCAUGACGUUUCGUUGAAAGACGGCGCAAGCUGUCGCUACAGGAUGGGCCCGCGGCGCAUUAGCUAGUUGGUGAGGUAACGGCUCACCAAGGCGACGAUGCGUAGCCGACCUGAGAGGGUGAUCGGCCACACUGGGACUGAGACACGGCCCAGACUCCUACGGGAGGCAGCAGUAGGGAAUUUUCCGCAAUGGACGAAAGUCUGACGGAGCAACGCCGCGUGAGCGAAGAAGGCCUUCGGGUCGUAAAGCUCUGUUGUUAGGGAAGAACAAGUAACGCAGUAACUGGCGUUACCGUGACGGUACCUAACGAGAAAGCCACGGCUAACUACGUG
rnacentral:rRNA from 1 species